AAAUGACAGUUCGUAAAAUGAUAAGUGACUAGCAAACUAGUGGUAAAACUACUCAAAAUAUAUUUUAUUACUCAAAAUGGGCGACGAAAUAACUUUUAAUGACCAACGUAUUCAAACGAUAACAGAAUUCGAUGCAGUUCAUCCCAGACAAUGCAAUUUGUAUUUUGCUCCGGAUUAUAAAGGACUUCGGAUACAUUUUGACAAAGAAAUAAUUAGUCAUCGUCCAUGUGGUUCCUGUUUUUAUUGUAAGGAAAAAGUUUAUGAGUAUUCCAUAAAUGAAGAAUUACGAGUGUAUCAUAACUGCAAAAAAAGCUGAAUAACAAAGAAACCGUUAGUGGUGAAGAUACAAUAAUAGAUAGAUAAAUUUCCAUUGUUAUUGUUGUUAAAAAAUAUUUAGUGAUGUAAGUCAUAAAGUACUCAAGAAAAAAUUAUACCUCAUGAAUGUACCUAAAAGUUUUUGCCAUUAUAAAGCUGGGUAUUUGUAUGUACAUAGUUCAUUAAUCCUAUUAUGGAUAUUAAUAAAAACUUCUUGUUGUGUAUUUUUAAAGAUUAUAACUGAAACAAAGUACCUAUUAUACUUACCAAUAAUCUUUAUUUUAUAUUUUGUAUAGUAAUUUAUUUUGUUAUAAAUCUUUUUAUAAACUAA